CAGGGAGACAACAAAAUGUUUUAUAUUAUUAUUUUGUCACCUUAGGUCGAUCGGUAUCUCACGUUUUUAAUUUAUUAAGAAUUUCAUUUCCUAAGUUUUUCUAGGUCACACCCAUUAUUUUUCCUGGGCCAUUAGCUCAGGUGGUUAGAGCGCACCCCUGAUAAGGGUGAGGUCCCUGGUUCAAGUCCAGGAUGGCCCAUAUCUCUAUGUUGGGGGUAUAGCUCAGUUGGUAGAGCGCCUGCUUUGCAAGCAGGAUGUCAGCGGUUCGAGUCCGCUUACCUCCACUGAUUACCACCUCUUCCAUAACCGAUAGAAAGGAAAUUUUUUGAGUUGUGAUCAUUAUUCUGAACGAAUCUAGCUUCCUAAUGAAAUCAUUAAGAUGCUGGACUCAUUGAAUUAAUUUCAUUGUUUUCAGAGAACCUUGACAACUGCAUAGAUUAUUUUUAAAGACAAUAAGCAUCUUUAAUGAUGCAGAUUUAUUAUUUGUGCGAAUGCAUUAAUAACAAUUCUAUUAAGCUGAUGCUUCAAUUUUUGGAGUUAUU
rnacentral:tRNA from 1 species